GUCCCAUCCUGGCGCUGGAGAAGGUGCCAAGGGUUAGUCUGUUCGCCUAUUAAAGUGGCACAUGAGCUGGGUUCAGAACGUCGUGAGACAGUUGACCCGCCUUAACAUUUGGCGGGUGACACUGAGCUGUCCAUCCUUCAAAACGUUUUGAAUGUAUAAGAGGAGUCUGUUAAUUGAAGGUCCCAAAAUCAGUUUGGGAAUAAAUCUGACUAAAUGCUGGAAAACCUUGUUAAGUAGUAUCUACUAGUAUAUGAUUUGUAUACUAGUAACAAAGAUACCUAAUUCGGUGGAUACGAAGCAAGGCAAUCAGCAGGAAAGGCUAGUUAAAGAAAUCAGCGACGAUUAUUUGAGAGGUUUUGUAGAAGGCGAGGGCUGUUUCUAUAUAGGAAUAGUUAAGUCUUCUGAAACACUUACUCAUUGGCAAGUGGUCUAUUUUUUCAAAGUUUCCCAAAAUCCAUCCGGAAGGGUGGUGUUGGAGAAGCUUAAGGAAAAACUGGGCUGCGGUUAUAUUAAAAGAAAUAGUCUAACUGACAAAACCGAUAAAAGUUUGGCAUUUGUUGUGAGAGACUUGCCAAGUUUGUCCGAGAAAGUAAUUCCGUUUUUUAAGGAUAUGCUGUUUACACAAAAGAAGGACGACUUUCAAAAGUUUUCUCAAGUUGUGGUAAUAGUAUCUUUGGGGAAACAUCUAAAAAAGACCGGAAUGAAAGAAAUUCUUGACGUCGCUUAUACGAUGAAUACAGGUAAACGCAAGUAUUCAAAGGAAGAGAUACUGAAGAAUUUUGAUGACUAGAAUCCUCAACGACUAUACGUCAGAUCCCGCUUGGCGGGAAAGAUAUAGUCUGAACCCUAUAGUGAUAUAGGGAGCGAAUACUAUUCGCCGUUUUUUAACGUAACAAUAAUGUCGGUCUCUAUCCAGUAGAGUCGUGGAGUUUUUGAGGGGGUCUGACCUCAGUACGAGAGGACCAGGUUGGAGGCACCACUGGUGUGCCGGUUGUAGCGUCAGCUGCACCGCCGGGUAGCUAAGUGCCUACGGGAUAACCGCUGAAAGCAUCUAAGUGGGAAGCCCUACCCAAGAUAAGAAACUCGUCCCGCCGUAAGGCGGGUAAAGACACGGGGUAGACUACCCCGUAUAAGAGGCUGGCGGUGUAAGUUCGGUAACGGAUUUAGCCUACCAGUACUAAUAAGUCUUU
rnacentral:rRNA from 1 species